rnacentral:rRNA from 1 species
AACGAACGCUGGCGGCAUGCCUAACACAUGCAAGUCGAACGAGACCUUCGGGUCUAGUGUCGCACGGGUGCGUAACGCGUGGGAACCUGCCCUUAGGUUCGGAAUAACUCCCCGAAAGGGGUGCUAAUACCGGAUAAUGUCUUCGGACCAAAGAUUUAUCGCCUUUGGAUGGGCCCGCGUUGGAUUAGCUAGUUGGUAGGGUAAAAGCCUACCAAGGCGACGAUCCAUAGCUGGUCUGAGAGGAUGAUCAGCCACACUGGGACUGAGACACGGCCCAGACUCCUACGGGAGGCAGCAGUGGGGAAUAUUGGACAAUGGGCGAAAGCCUGAUCCAGCAAUGCCGCGUGAGUGAUGAAGGCCUUAGGGUUGUAAAGCUCUUUUACCCGGGAUGAUAAUGACAGUACCGGGAGAAUAAGCUCCGGCUAACUCCGUG